ACAGGGCCGCCCUACUACAAGGCAUUAUUUGGCCUCAAAUGUCAACAGUGUGAGGUUGAGAAACGUUGGUCUAGACUGCAUGUGCAGUCUAGGGGGCUGCACGUGCGGACCCCAGGGUGUCCGUCCUGCACGGGUGUUUCCUCCUGACUUUGGUCCUGUCUUUGACUGGUGGAGUCCGAGGGAGAGGCUGGGGGCCCCCCAGCGCUCCACAGCUUCCUCUUGUGUUGGCAGAAGCAAGAAGACCACCGCCUCUGAGGAGGUGGUCAAGCCGAGCACAGCAAGCGACAGGUGGAUGAUAAUGGUCGGAUGUCAAAGGGACCCAGGAGCCAGCUGAAAGAGCUCCCAAUGGCCAAAAUGCAACAAGAUGAGGAAACUGAGGCCCAGCGAGGCUAAGUUACCCAAGGUAAUACCCAAGGCUCCAAACUCUUGACCGCUGCACCCAGGAUGCCCCCAGAGCACCUCUGGCCAAAUUGCAGAAGCCAACAGCCUGUCCCGUGCUGGCAGAGAGGCGACAACGGCACUAGGCCUGGCUUCCAGGGUCUGGCUUCUAGAAGCCAUCGGACUCCAGAAGUCUGCACAGGCCACUUCCUGUUUGUGUGACUUUGGGAAGAUCUCUUUACUUUCCUGAGCCUCAGUUUCCUUAUUUAUAAAAAGGGCAUGAUGAUCCCACUUCCUCUGUUUCUACUCCUCAGGGCUAUUGCCGGCUCAGGCAUGGAAACUGUCAAGCGUGCACAUAGGCAGGAAGUGGAGGAGGGAAGGGGUGCAGAGUGAACAAGAUGCAGGGAGGCAGCGUGCGGGCCAUCGUGAGAGAGCUGUGUUCAGGGGACUUUGGGGUCUGAGGAGCGGGGUGGGGUGGGGAUUCAGAGUUAGUCUUGGAGGCUUUACUGUCAGCUGGCUGAACUGGGAUGGUAGCCACAGUGAGGUGGGAGGGCGGGCUGUGAAGGAGAGGCCGCCGCAGGGAUCCAGGACCACAGCAGGCUGUCUCCAGCUUCUCAGCUGAGCCCUAGGCUCCUCGGUGAGUCUGAGAAAGAGUUCCCCAGGACAGGCCCUCCGGGUAGGAAAGGGGUCCAGUGGGGUGUAGGGACUUACUGGCAAAUUUUUGUCAAUGUCCACAAGAGGGAAGGAUGAUACAGGAGGCACGCAUUGAAUUGCUCUUUCCAGAAGCCCCCAGGAAAUCAGAAUACCAGCUUCUCAUUUGAUGGGCCCCCCCCACCCCAAUUCACCGCAGCCAGCUCAUCUGAGCCUCCAACAGUCAGGAGGGAGGUCGACUCUUCUCUCCCCUACACUCCAUCUGCUCUUUCUAACAUCCUCAGUCAUUUAUUCUCCUCUGUGACACUCUUGUCAGUAUUUUACACUAUACUGACCUCUUCCUUGCUCCAAAAAAGUUCUUUUUCUGCCAGGACUGCACUCCUUCUUGGCCAACCCUUUAACCGAUUUUGUAAUAGGAGAGAAAGGGGCAGGGCACAACUUUGGAAAGACUGAUAUGGCCCAAAGACACAACAUAAACCAAUUAGAAUCAAACGGGACCAAGUUGGCAGACAAGACCAGGCCUUGAUCCUCAAUCAGCAAGUGAAAUGACACACCCAGAGACGCCAUGCCAGUUCCAAGGCACUGUUAAAGGACCAAGGAGUGGGCGGUGGCCCAAAUCCUGGAAAUCUCCGCCCCUUCCCCAAAAUAGUUGGAAUAAUCCUCUCACUCAUUAGCAUAUGAAAUUACCCAGCCUACUAACCGAACCAAAUUUUGGGCCACACUCGUUCUCUGCGAUGGUCCACACUGUGUCUGUGGAGUGUGGUUCUCACUGUAUCUGAAUAAAUCCACAUCUUACCUAUCACUUUGUCUCUCGCUGAAUUCUUUCUGCAAUGAGACAUCAAGAACCCAAGCUUCAUUAGGUCCUGAAAGCAGGUACUGUGGGUUUUGGCUGGGUUUGAGUCCCAGCCACGUGGGUUCAAGUCCCAAGCAGGGUUUUGGCUGUGUUCAAGUCCCAGCUAGUUUCCUAUCUUCUUUUCCACACCCUCCAGAUUCUCUUCUUGGUCUCCUUCUUUCCUUUUCUUUCUUUUUGCUUUGAAAGAAUUCUCCUUGAGUGGUCUUCUCAGCUACAGUGUGAAUCCCCACCAUGCACUGAUGGGUUCUGAGUCUUCAACCCCCCGUCCUUCCAACUACAGUCCUGGCACAACUAAAACUAAACUCAUCUCUGCCCCCACCCACUGCCUCUUCAGUCUCAAUGUCAUCACAACCAGAUAGGGUUCUGCUUUUGGAGUUGUUGAAAUGAACCUGGCUGGCUUAAGCAGAGAGAGGGGAUUUAUUGGAAGGGUGAAGCGACUCAUCAGCUCGAAGGAAAGGCUCAAAAUCUAGGCUCAGAAGUGACGAAAGUUGGAGCAGCUACAGGGAGCUGAGCAGUGGGUGCAGGUGAAUGGCUCCCUCAGGGCACAAAGACUGGAGAAUGGAGAAUA